rnacentral:snoRNA from 1 species
AGGACCAGUGAUGACCACCGGUGGCGUCUGAGUCAUGGACAGUGAACAGUACUUGUCUAGAACUCUGAGGUCCAA